rnacentral:lncRNA from 1 species
GUUCAUCCCAUCCAAUAUAUGAAAGGAAUUAGCCUAACAUAAUGUUAGAAUCAAACAAAUAAAAAUUGGAAAAACAUCAUCGCGAAAUUGACAUGAUUAUUGCAAAAGAAAUCUGGAAUUUUUUUGCUUAGCCAUCGACAUCUUUUUCCUUCAAAUUCAGCCCAAUGUUUGAGUCCUUUCCGCCUCUCUUUAUGUGCAUAAUCUUGGCUGCCUCCAAACGUGUAUUUCAGCAACACAAGUUUCCCCCACAAGGUUGCCUUUUCAAUGUAUCUUCCCACUUGGCUGCCUUUGUGAUCAAUCGGUAUCUUCCCUAGUUGACUCCCUUGUCAAUGUAUAUGUAUAUAUAAUGAAUCUUAGCAAUAGGUAGCUCCAAAUUCCCUUUGCUGCUACCUUUUUUUUUUUUUCACUCCCACAGCGCCGUUUUCAGCUCCAAUUUUGAAGUGAUAUUUCAAUCGCUCUCUCCUUGCUUUCUCUGGUACACGUGAUGUGUAUGUGUAUAUAUAAAUUCAGCAAAAGCCCCAAUGUUUUCCUCCAAAUUUCAGCAGCUGGUUUCUUUUUCCUUUCCAAUUUCUACCCCGGCUGCCCUCUUUAUGCAAUG